rnacentral:rRNA from 1 species
GACGAACGCUGGCGGCGUGCUUAACACAUGCAAGUCGAACGGAAAGGCCUGUCCUUCCUUGUGUUGGACGGGUACUCGAGUGGCGAACGGGUGAGUAACACGUGAGUGAUCUGCCCCCAACUUGGGUAUAAGCCUGGGAAACUGGGUCUAAUUCCCGAUAGGACUGCAGGGUGGUGCCUGUGGUGGAACACGAUUUUCUAGUGGUUGGGGAUGAGCUCGCGGCCUAUCAGCUUGUUGGUGGGGUAAUGGCCUACCAAGGCGGCGACGGGUAGCCGGCCUGAGAGGGUGGACGGCCACAUUGGGACUGAGAUACGGCCCAGACUCCUACGGGAGGCAGCAGUGGGGAAUAUUGCACAAUGGGCGGAAGCCUGAUGCAGCGACGCCGCGUGGGGGAUGACGGCCUUCGGGUUGUAAACUCCUUUCGACCGCGAGGAAGCCGCCUGGUUGGAAGGGUGGUGACGGUAGUGGUAGAAGAAGCACCGGCUAACUACGUG